UGCGCAGGCGGUCUUGCAAGACAGAUGUGAAAUCCCCGGGCUUAACCUGGGAACUGCAUUUGUGACUGCAAGGCUGGAGUACGGCAGAGGGGGAUGGAAUUCCGCGUGUAGCAGUGAAAUGCGUAGAUAUGCGGAGGAACACCGAUGGCGAAGGCAAUCCCCUGGGCCUGUACUGACGCUCAUGCACGAAAGCGUGGGGAGCAAACAGGAUUAGAUACCCUGGUAGUCCACGCCCUAAACGAUGUCAACUGGUUGUUGGGAAGGUUCCUUCUCAGUAACGUAGCUAACGCGUGAAGUUGACCGCCUGGGGAGUACGGCCGCAAGGUUGAA
rnacentral:rRNA from 1 species